rnacentral:rRNA from 1 species
UACGAAGGUGGCAAGCGUUACUCGGAAUUACUAGGCGUAAAGGGCGGGUAGGCGGUUUGACAAGUCUGUUGUGGAAGCUCCCGGCUUAACUGGGAGAGGUCAACGGAAACUGUCAGGCUUGAGUGUAGGAGAGGGUACUGGAAUUCCCGGUGUAGCGGUGAAAUGCGCAGAGAUCGGGAGGAACACCAACGGCGAAAGCAGGUACCUGGACUAUUACUGACGCUCAGCUGCGAAAGCUAGGGGAGCAAACAGG